UUUUCACGUAUUUGGGAAAUUUUUUCACCCAUAUAGACACAUAAAGGGCAUCUUCAUUUUUGUGUAGCUUCAGAGAGUUCAUUAAUGGAUGCAUCGUGCGUUAUUUACCAAGUCUGCUAUUGAUGGGCUUUUUGCUUUCCCAACUUUCUAUUUUGAAAAUGUUCAAAUCUACAGAAAACUUAAAGGAACAGUAAAACGAACACCUUUGUACCUUUGUGCAUCAAAAGGUUUAACGUAGCAGGUCCGAUGGCUAUCUUUAGAAAGCCCUGCUUGCAAGGCUGGCCCUCAGCUGGAGUCUCUCCCUGGAACUUUCCUUGAAUGAUAAGGAAGAUGAAACCAAGACUCAGGAAAGCAGGAGCCACUUGGUUUCCUAAUGACACAGCCGCUUUCAGGCCCUGCAGUUGUUGGUUCUCAAAAGGGAAAGAAAACGGCAUCUUCUCCCAGCCUAAGUAUAUAACUAAGCCAGAAAUGGUCUUGGAAGAACAAAAAGUAAAUGAGGAUAUUCGACCCACGACAGCUCUUGAAAGUGAGAAGGAAAUAGA